UUCAAGAUAACAAUGAUUCUUUUCUUCCAUAGCUAUUCUGAUACUUAACUCUUUUGGCUGCUUUUCUAAAAUGUUCUUGCCGAAUACCAACCACGAGCUUUUAAUUAAAAGGACUUUCCCUUAAUUAGACUUGUCUAACUGGAAAGGGCUGUCCAGUGGAGAGGUUCACGUAGGAUCUGUAAUGCUGUUGCAGGGAUCCUUUCAUAGGAGAAAGUGAGACCAACUGGCCACAAGGACCCUUCAAGCUCAGGUAUGUAUGACUUAUGACAAGGUGUAAGAGACUCAGGACAAACUGGCAAAUAAACCCGAUACUAACGCUGGCUUCAAAGACAAGAAAACCACAGGAAUGAAGGUGGAGGAUGAUAACUACAUGCUGAGACCCCAGACUGGUCAGAACCUAAGGAAUGAUGAUGUUGACCUUAUCUGUUUCUCAUGACUUAAAUCAACUAAAGCUUGGCCUCUGUCAACCGCUGCCUCAAUUCUAUGUUGAAUUCUCUUCUGUUCAUCCCCUCAUGAAUAUGCAUGUGCCCUUAGCUUGAAAGGUCCUAAUUUUGCUGUUCAGGGAGACACUGCUUUGGGAAAGAUCCCCGGUAUUCUCUUCACUUGC